GUGUUUUAAAUAAGGAGAGAAGGUUAACACUGCCCUGGACAGGGUUGGAAGUAGCCCUGGGGCUGACAACAUGCACGAGAGAAGGCAUGGCUACCUAAUGGCUGUUUACUUCCAGGCACCUGG